UACGUAGGGUGCAAGCGUUAAUCGGAAUUACUGGGCGUAAAGCGUGCGCAGGCGGUUCGCUAAGACCGAUGUGAGAUCCCCGGGCUUAACCUGGGAACUGCAUUGGUGACUGGCGGGCUAGAGUAUGGCAGAGGGGGGUAGAAUUCCACGUGUAGCAGUGAAAUGCGUAGAGAUGUGGAGGAAUACCGAUGGCGAAGGCAGCCCCCUGGGCCAAUACUGACGCUCAUGCACGAAAGCGUGGGGAGCAAACAGG
rnacentral:rRNA from 1 species